rnacentral:lncRNA from 10 species
CCAUAAUGUCCUGCACACAUGGUGUUAUCUUCAGAUAGCCGUGACACUUGUCACACAUGGUGACAAGGAGAAGAGGGAAGGAACCGCCAUGUUGGGUGGAUCUGGCUUCUAGCUAUCGAUAAUUUCUUUACUGAAAAUAGAAUGAAAGUACUUGCAAUAUAUGAUGAAAUGCCCAGGGGAGCAAAACGACUGAAUAGAAGCCUCUACCAAUUGUCCUCCCUGCAGGAACACCAAAUUUCACAUCUACACAAAAAAGCACAUUAAUAAGAACCAAAAAUCAGGUGAGUAACCACAGUACCUGGUUUUAACUUUAUAUCAUUGAAGAAAGCACCGAAGAGGGCAGAAAAUAUAAUCUUGAGUUGCUGAUGCCACCCCUACCACAUCAACCAGCAGCAGCCCUGUUGCCCAGAGAGACAAUCUGUGCUCUAGGGAGAGGAAAAGAAUUGUGAUUGUGAGACUUUGCAUUGGCACUCAGUGCUGUCCUAUCACAGUGAAAGCAACAUCACACAGAACUCAGCCAAUGCCUGUGGAGGGAGCAUUUAGACCAUAUCUAAGCAGAGGGGAAUCAUCCAUCCCAGUGGCUCUAACUUGAGGUCUGGCAAGACUAGCCACUGUAAACUAAAGUCCUGUAGAGUACUUAAUUAACUUGAAAGGCAUUCUAGGCCACAAAGCCUGCAACUCCCAGGCAAGUCCUAGUGCUGUGCUGGGCUUGGAGCCACUGUACUUUGGGGGCACACAACCUAGUGAGACAAUGGAAUGGCCAAGGGAAUGCUUCCGCCACCCCACUUCCAAUACCAGGCAAUGCAGCUCACAGCUCUUAAAGAGACUCCUUCCUCCCACUUGAGGAAAAGAGAGGGAAGAGUAAAGAGGACUUUGUCUUGCAACAUGGAGACCAGCUCACCCACAGUAAUAGGGCACCAGGCAGAGUCUUCAGGUCCCCAUUACAGGCUCUAGGUCCUGGAUGACAUUUCUAGUCAUACCCUGAGCCAGAAGGAAACUCGCUGCCUUGAAGAGAAGGACCCAGUCCUAAUAGUAUACAUCAUCUUCUGACUAAAGGGCUCUUGGGUCCUGAAUAAACAAUCGCAGUAGUCCAGUAGUACCUGGCAUGAGCUUUGGGUGGGACUCUGAGACCUGCUAGCUUAAGGUGUGACCCAGAACAUUUACAGAUGUGGUGGCUAUGAGGACAGACUCCUUCUGCUCUUGAGAAGCAGAAAGAAAAGGAGUCUUUCUCUUGCACCUCAGGUACCAGCUCAGCCACGGUGAGGUAGAGCACAUAGUGGACUUUUUGGGACCCCAAUUCUAGGCUUUGGCUCUUGGAUGUUAUUUGUGGACCUUUCUUGGGCCAGAGUAGAGCCAACUUCCCUGAAGGGUGAAUCCCGGGCCUGGCAGCAUUCACUACUAGCUGACUAAAAAGCCCUUGGACCUUGAGGGUAUAUUGCUGGUCACCUGGCAGUACUCCCUGUGGGCAUGUGGGGAUGGAGGGCAUGGGGAGAGAAUCCCCGCUUCUGAAAAGAAGAGGAAAAAGUGAAAAAGACUUUGUCUUGUGGCUUGCAUGCCAGCUCAGACACAGACGAAUAGAGCAGCAGGUAGAUUUCUAAGGCCUCUGACUCUAGACCCUAGAUUCUGGGUAACAUUCCUGAACUUGUCCUGGGCCACCAUGAAGGGAAAAAGCAAGCCUGGCUGAUUCCACCACUUACUAAUCGUAGAACCCUAGAGACUUAAGUGAACAAAGGCAGCAACUAGAUAGUGAUUACAAUGGGCCUUGCACAAGACCCAGUGCUGUGUUGUCCCACACAGCAGUCCCAGUGAUGUUGACCACAGGGGUGGUUAUGUCACCCCUCCCCAAGCUCCAAGCAACUCAGCACAGAGAGAGAGAGACCCUGUUUGUUUUGGAGAAAGCACGAGAAGAGAACAAGAGUCUCUGCCUAGUAAUUCAGAUAAUUCUCCUAGAUUUUAUCCAAGACCACCAUGGCAGUACUUCUAUAAGUAUGAAAAAGCCACAGUCUUUUUGGGCUGGGGGUGCACUAUGAUGCAGAUACAGCUUAAGUGACCAAAAACUUAGAUAAAAACACCAAAGUCCCUUUGAAUACUUGGAAAGCCUUCCCAAGAAGGACAGGUAUAAACUAGCUCAGACUGCAAAGACUACAAUAAAUACUUAAUUCUUUAAUGCUCAAAAACUGAUGAACAUUCACAACCAUCAAGACCAUCCAUGAAAACAUGACCUCACCAAAAUAACUAUAGAAAGUCACCAGGGACAAAUCCUGGUGAAACAGAGUUCUGUGACCUUUCAGAGAAUUCAAAAUGCCUUUAUUGAGGAAACUCAAUGAAAUUCUACAUAACACACAAAAGAAAUUGAGACUUUUACCAGAUAAGUUUAAUAGAUAUUCAAAUAAUUAAAGAGAAUCAAGCAGAAUUGCUGGAGUUGAAAAAUACAACUGUCAUCCUGAAGGAUGCAUCAGAGGCUCUUAAUAGCAGAAUUGAUCAAGCAGAAGAAAGAAAGAAUUCGUGAGCUUGGAGACAGGGUAUUUGAAAAUACAUAGUCAAGAGAGACAAAAGAAAAAAGAAAAAGAAAAAUACAUACCUAUGAGAUCUAGAAAAUAGCCUGAAAACAGCAAAUCUAAGACAUAUUGCCCUUAAAGAGGAGGUAGAGAGAGAUAAGGAUAGAAAGUUUAUUCAAGCCGUUCAUAACAGAGACCUUCUCAAACCUAUUAAAAGAUAUCAAUCUUCAAGUACAAGAAAGUUAUAGAAUGCCAAGCAGAUUUAACCCAAAGAAGAUUACCUCAAGGGAUUUAAUAAUCAAAGUCCUGGCAGGGCGUGGUGGCUCACGCCUGUAAUCCCAGCACUUUGGGAGGCCGAGACAGGCAGAUCAUGAGGUCAAGAGACUGAGACCAUCUGGCCAACAUGGUGAAACCCUGUCUCUACUAAAAAUACAAAAAUUAGCUGGGCGUGGUGGCACAUGCCUGUAGUCCCAGCUACUCGGGAGGCUGAGGCAGCAGAAUCGCUUGAACCCAGGAGGCAGAGAUUGCAGUGAGCCAAGAUUGCGCCACUGCACUCCAACCCGGCAACAGAAUGAGACUCCGUCAAAAAAAAAAAAAAAAAAAAAAUCAAAGUCCCAAAACUCAAGGAUAAAGGAUCCUAAAAGCAGCAAGAGAAAAGAAACAAAUAACAUACAAUGCACUCCAAUAGGCAGCAGACAUUCAGUGGAAACCUUACAGGCCAGGAGAGAGUGACAUGACAUAUUGAAAGUGCUGAAGGAAAAUAACUUCUACCUUAGACUAGUAUAUACAGUGAAAAUAUUCUUUAAGCAUGAAGAAAUAAGGACCUUCCCAGGAAAACAAAAGCUGAGGAAUUUCAUCAACACCACACCUGUCCUGCAAGAAAUGCUAAAGGGAGUUCUUCAAUCUGAAACAGAAGGAUAUUAAUGAACAAUUAAAAAUUGUCUGAAGGUACAAAACUUACCAGUAAUAGUAGGAAUACAGAAAAACACAGAAUAUUAUAACACUUUAAUUGUGGUGUGUAAACUACUCAUAUCUUGGGUAGAAAGACUAAAAGAGGAAAUGAUAAAAAUAAUAACUAUAAAACCAUUCAAUACAUAGGGAGUAAAAUAAGAAUUAAAUAGAAACAACAAUAAGUUAAAAAGUGGAGGGAUUAAGUUAAAAUAUAGAGUUUUUAUAAAUUUUCCUUUUGCUUUUUUAUUUAUGUAAUCAAUGUUAAAUUUUCUUCAGUUUAUAAUAAUGGGUUAUAAGAUAGUAUUUGCAAGCCUCAUGGUAACCUCACAUGAAAUACAUACUACAGGUAAACAAAAUUGAAAAACAAUAAAUUAAAACAUACCACCAGAGACAAUAAUCUUCCCUGAAAGGAAGACAGGAAAGAUGGAAGUAAAGAAGAGAAGACCACAAAACAACUAGAAAACAAAUAACAAAAUAGCAAGAGUAAUUCCUUCGUUAUCAAUAAUAACAUUAAAAAUAAAAGAAACUCUCCAAUCAAAAUACAUAGAAUGGAUGAAUGAAUUUUUAAAAAGCUAGACCUAAUAAUCUAUUGCCUACGAGAAACACAUUUCCCCUAUAAAGACACACAAAGACUAAAACUAAAGAGAUGGAAAAAGACACUCCAUAAAAGAUACUCCCUGUUAAAUAGACGGUGCUGGCAUAGUUGACUAGCCCUAUGCAGAAGAAUGAAACUUGAAAAAAACGUACAAAAAUACAAAAAAUACGAAAAUUAGCUGGGCAUGUUUGUACGUGACUGUAGUCCCAGCUACUUGGGAAGCUGAGACAGGAGGAUUGCUUGAGCCCAGGAGGUUGAGGCAGCAGUGAGUCGUGAUCAUGCCACUGCACUCCAGCCUGGGUGACAGAGUGAGACCAUGUAUCAAAAAAAAAAAAAAUUAAGAAAAUUUAAACUUUUUAAAAAAUAUAUAAAAAAUUGAAAAACCUUUAGCAAGACUAAGAAAAAAAGAGAGAAGACACAAAUAAAUAAAAGCAGAGAUGAACAAGGAGACAUUAUUCCUGAUACCGAAGGAAUUUAAAAGAUCAUUAGAUGCUUCCAUGAACAACUAUAUGGUAAUAAACUGGAAAACCUAAAAAAAAUGGGCAAAUUUCUAGUCACUUAAAAUCUACCAAGAUUGAGCCAUGAAAAUUCCAAAAUCUGAGUAGGGCCAUAACAAGUACCAAGAUUGAAGCCAUAAUAAAAAGUCUCCAGCAAAGAAAAGUCCAGACCCCCAUAGUUUCGUUGUGGUAUUUUAUCAAACAUUUUAAAAGAACUAGUACCAAUCCUACUCAAACUAUUUCAAAAAAUAAAGGAAGAGAGGAUACUUCCAAACUUAUUCUACGAGGCCAGUAUUACCGUAUACCAAAACCAGACAAAGACACACACACAAAAAUACAGGCCAAUACCCUUGAUGAACAUUUUUUAAAACAUUUAUUUUAAGUUUAGGGGUAAAAUUGCAGACUUAUUAUAUAAGUAAACUUGUGUCAUGGGAGUUUGUUGUACAGAUUAUUUUUUCACCCAGGUAUUAAGCAUAGUAACGAUUAGUUAUUUUUCCUGAUCCUUUCCUUCCUUCCACCCUCCACCAUCCAAAAGGCCCCAGUGUGUGUUGUUCCCCUUGAUGCGUCCAUGUGUUCUCAUCAUUUAGAUUCCACUUAUAAGUGAGAGCAUGCAAUAUUUGGUUUUCUGUUUCUGUGUUAGUUUGCUAAGGAUAAUGGCCUCCAGCUCCAUCCAUGUUCCUGCAAAAGAUAUGAGCUAGCUCUUUUCUAUGGCUGCAUAGUACUCCAUGGUGUAUGUGUACCACAUUUUCUUUAUCCAUUCUAUCAUUGAUGGGUCCUUGAUGAAGACUGAUGCAAAAAUUCUGAACAACAUACCAGCAAAACAAAUUCAACAACAUAUUAAAAAGAUAAUGACCAAGUGGGAUUUAUUCCAGGGAUGCAGAAAUGGUUUCAGAUUGACAAAGCAAUCAGUAUGAUACAUUAUAUUAACAGAAUGAAGGAAAGAAAUUACAUGGUCAUUUCAAUUGAUACUGAGUAAACAUUUGAUAAAAUUCAACAUUCUUUCAUUACUCAAUCUAUGCAUUUGAUGAAGGCCUAAUAUCCAGCAUCUAUAAAGUACUUA